rnacentral:rRNA from 1 species
UGGGGAAUUUUGGACAAUGGGCGAAAGCCUGAUCCAGCCAUGCCGCGUGCAGGAUGAAGGCCUUCGGGUUGUAAACUGCUUUUGUACGGAACGAAACGGUCUUUUCUAAUACAGAAGGCUAAUGACGGUACCGUAAGAAUAAGCACCGGCUAACUACGUGCCAGCAGCCGCGGUAAUACGUAGGGUGCAAGCGUUAAUCGGAAUUACUGGGCGUAAAGCGUGCGCAGGCGGUUAUGUAAGACAGUUGUGAAAUCCCGGGCUCAACCUGGGAACUGCAUCUGUGACUGCAUAGCUAGAGUACGGUAGAGGGGGAUGGAAUUCCGCGUGUAGCAGUGAAAUGCGUAGAUAUGCGGAGGAACACCGAUGGCGAAGGCAAUCCCCUGGACCUGUACUGACGCUCAUGCACGAAAGCGUGGGGAGCAAACAGGAUUAGAUACCCACGUAGUCCCUGAGCGGGCUGGCAAGGCGCAU